UUUACCUUUUUUAGCAACAAAGGCCACCUACAGGCUCGAGAAGGUUCUAAUGAACAAGCGUGUUCUCGGUGACGUAAAGAAGCUGAGCCCUCUCUACCAAACAUCUGCCUUGGAAGGGUUUCACAGCCUGAUUCUACGAUUUGCACCAAAACAUGUCGUCUUCUCAUACUUGGGAAUGCUCUGCAGGCUAUACCUGUCAGCACUGCACUUCAAUGAACAUUCAGUGCGCUCACAGGCAAGGACUGCAGCAGGAGAACUGCACUUCAAACUAAAAUUUCCAAAGUGUAAGAGAGGGGAGCAUGUCGUAUCUGUGGUGAAGACCAACUAUACUACUGAAUAUGUCACUGAGCUCACCAACCUCCUCUUUAAUGAGGUCAUUCGUGACCCUGAACCUUUCGUAGCUGCCCUGAAGGAAGUAGCUGUUCCAGGGUUCCUCUGCUCCCAGUAUGAGCGACCUGACAAGGCAGAUGCAGUUGCCAGCCAAAUGUCCAGGUUCAGCUGUCCAGGUAAGGGUUGGCUCCUCCAACACAUUGUGGCUAAAUGCCUGUUUAUCCACAAGUCUGCCUAAAUCAGUAUCACAACAUUUAUAAUGAAUAUAAUCAAGCACAGAUCCAGCUCCACAGCCCUGAUGACACAAACACCUGCUGAGAGUGAGAGGAGGGGAGAGGACACCAACUAAAGAACCCAGAACUAUGAGGAACGGAGGAAGUCAAGGUACUCCUGGUGGAUACGGACAACAACGCAGGAAGGUAUCACUACCCGGUUGUGCUUUCCCAGGUAUCCCCAGCACCAGGAAAUGAAGGAUGCCAGCACAUCAUGAUCCCAAGAAGAUGAAAGAUGGAUCAACCUGCAGCGUGUCUGAAAUCUAUUUGGCUGUAUGGAUUGGCCUGGACAUUUGUUUUUUUUUUUCUUUCUCUGUUUUAACUUCCAUGAAUUAUCCACAACCAUACAUUUGUAAUUUUGACUAAUCAGUUGUUGUGAAGCGUUAUCACAAAAUGUUCAAUUUGUUAGAUUUUUAUACAUGUUGUAUAUCCUAGUUCUCUAUUGUUCUCUGAGGCUGGGACUAGUUCAUGCAUUUGUUACCUCCAGGUUGGAUUAUUGUAAUUAUUGUAAUUCUCUCUCUGGAUGGAUAGGCCGGG